rnacentral:misc_RNA from 1 species
GCGUGUGAGUGGUGAUUGGAUGGCAUGGGUUUGCAGGCUCCUUGCUUGUGCAUCGAACUGGAAGCUCUCCGUCCUCUUCAUAGUUUUCCCCAAGCAUGCUUACUGUCUUGCGGGUGCUAUCGGUAUCCUGUAUUUUUUACCAAUGCAACGGAAUUUGAUGGUUCGGAUGCCUACAUCCGUUCGGCGCCCGUUAGGGUGCCGGGCGGACGACAGGUUGGCCUCGUGUUCCUGGCAUGCCUUGCCUCGUUGUUCGGCUGCCGUGGCGCACGGGGUUAUGCCCGUUCUCUCGGAUGCGGAUUGUUACGUGUGGGCUAGGGGUUACGGCCUCUAUCUGCCCGCAUCGUGCAUUUGUCCCUCGACACGGACGACUGCCGCGCUCGUCUUGGCUCGAGAGCUGCACGGCUCUACGAGGACCCAUGCGGGCGUCGGCGUCGUUUAGGAAUGC